GACGAACGCUGGCGGCGUGCUUAACACAUGCAAGUCGAACGGAAAGGCCCUGCUUUUGUGGGGUGCUCGAGUGGCGAACGGGUGAGUAACACGUGAGUAACCUGUCCUUGACUUUGGGAUAACUUCAGGAAACUGGGGCUAAUACCGGAUAGGAGCUCCUGCUGCAUGGUGGGGGUUGGAAAGUUUCGGCGGUUGGGGAUGGACUCGCGGCUUAUCAGCUUGUUGGUGGGGUAGUGGCUUACCAAGGCUUUGACGGGUAGCCGGCCUGAGAGGGUGACCGGCCACAUUGGGACUGAGAUACGGCCCAGACUCCUACGGGAGGCAGCAGUGGGGAAUAUUGCACAAUGGGCGGAAGCCUGAUGCAGCGACGCCGCGUGCGGGAUGACGGCCUUCGGGUUGUAAACCGCUUUCGCCUGUGACGAAGCGUGAGUGACGGUAAUGGGUAAAGAAGCACCGGCUAACUACGUG
rnacentral:rRNA from 1 species